rnacentral:rRNA from 1 species
AUGCGGAAGGCAGCGGCGUUAGCGGCUGCGGCGGUGGUCGCGACCGCAGCCGCCAUCGCCGUGCGCCAGAGGCUGCGGGAGGCGAAGCGGUGGGCGCGCGUGGCCGCCGUGCUGUCGGACCUGCAGGAGCGGUGCGCGGCGCCGGCGGCGCAGCUGCUGCAGGUGUCGGACGCGAUGGACGUGGAGAUGCGCGCGGGGCUCGCCUCCGAGGACGGGAGCAAGCUCAAGAUGCUCGUCACCUACGUUGACUCCCUCCCCUCCGGGGAUGAGAAAGGGCUAUUUUAUGCACUUGACCUCGGAGGAACAAACUUCCGCGUUUUACGAGUUCAACUAGGGGGCAAGGAACAGGGAGUUAUCAAGCAAGAAUCUGUAGGGGUAUCCAUUCCACAGGAUUUAAUGUCCAGAAGCUCACAUGAACUAUUUGAUUUUAUCGCCGCUGCUUUAGCAGAGUUUGUUGCCUCUGGGGGUGUGGAUUAUCACCUUCCGGAGGGCACUCAUAGAGAACUCGGUUUUACAUUCUCCUUUCCAGUGAAGCAAACUUCAAUUUCAUCUGGCACACUUAUAAAGUGGACAAAGGGUUUUGCAAUUGAGGAAAUGGCUGGCAAGGAUAUCGUGGCUGAAUUAAACGAGGCUAUAAAACGUCAAGGACUUGUUAUGAAAGUCUCAACAUUGGUAAAUGAUACCGUUGGGACUCUGGCUGCUGGGAGGUAUGUGGAUAAUGAUACUGUGGUUGCUGUAAUACUGGGAACUGGUACUAAUGCAGCGUACAUAGAGCAUGCACAUGCAAUUCCUAAAUGGCAUGGCCCCCUGCCCAUGUCCGGAGAUAUGGUAAUAAACAUGGAGUGGGGAAAUUUCAAGUCCGCUCAUCUUCCACUCACUGAAUUUGAUCAAGCUUUGGAUGCAGAAAGUUUGAACCCUGGAGAACAGAUUUAUGAGAAGUUGACCUCUGGUAUGUAUAUGGGGGAAAUCGUCCGAAGAAUCUUGUUACAGAUGGCUCAAGAAGCUGCUCUUUUUGGUGAUAAUAUACCUCCAAAACUAGAGAUCCCAUACAUUCUAAAGACAUUUCACAUGCUGGUGAUGCAUCAUGAUGCAUCUCCUGAUCUGGAAACAGUCGGUAUCAAGCUAAAAGAAAUCUUCGAGAUCGAGAGCACCUCAAGAAAAACAAGAAAACUGGUCGUGGAUGUUUGCAAGGUCAUUGCCACGCGUGGCGCGCGGCUUGCUGCUGCCGGGAUACAUGGCAUCCUCAAAAAGCUCGGUCGGGCUACUGACAGCCCCGAUAAGCGAAGGACAGUAAUUGCGGUGGAUGGCGGAGUCUACAAGUACUAUACUUUCUUCAGUAAGUGCAUGGAAAGGACUCUGAGUGAUAUGCUUGGGGAGGAGCUGGCACCCUCGGUUGUGAUCAAACCGGCCAAUGACGGCUCGGGCCUUGGGGCCGCUCUCUUGGCGGCUUCCUAUUCUCAGUACCUCCAGGCUGAUGAAGAUUAUUAG